CUACCCUCCAACCUACCUGCCCCCCCAUGUGUCCCCCCUCGUCUCUCGAAGGAUCGUGGAGAACAGAGUAGCGGCAGCAGCGGCGGCGGCGCAGGCGGCAGCAACGGCCAGCAGCAGCCACCAGAUCCACCCUCCAGGAGCUCUACCCACCUCUAGUAGCAGUCUGCCCCCUCCUUCCGUCACUCUCACCACCCCACACUACAGGUACACUCAGGAAGCCUUCUACAACAGCCGACCUUACUACACCCCAGAGCCCCAGCGUAGAAUACUUCCCCGCCUGAAGAACCCCUGACCCCCGAGAAUCCACCCCCUUGAAGCCCACAAAGUCUUCGAUCCUCAACCUUUCAGCAGCAGCAGCAGCAGCAGCAGCGGCGGCAGUAGCGGCAGCCACGAGCACACAGGAUAGGAAGCCUCUGGACAGGGUUUCCCAACGCGGGCGACACCACGACGACGGCGAUGGCGGCGGCGGCGGCGGGGAAAUACAAACAGCUAGUCAUGGAAGAAGCGUCGGUCUUUUGGUGCGGAACGACUGACCCAAUAUCCGACCUCCCCCCUCCCCUCCCCUUCUCCCCCCCUCCGUCAAAAUGAGUCAUGCCUUUUGGGUUUGUUUAUGUUUUAUUGAUUAUGAUUGAUGUCAUUCUUAUUAUUAUUAUUAUUAUUUCUUUUUUGGUGGAAAUUUUCUUAUCGGUUAUUUUUCUCACUUUCUUUCGUAUUGGAAGAUGUCGUCAGCUAGUAACAAAAGUGUCAGUUCUCCCCCCCCCCCUUCUUAUCUUCAUCUCCUUCCUUUUUUGUUUUUCUUUCUUUCUGUUUCUUUCAUCCUUUUUUUCCCUCCCAUUAACUGAGAUCCAUGAUGGCCUCCCAACAGUUUUUGUGAUCAGUUGUUUUAAUAAUAAUAUUAUUAUUAUUAUUAAUUUGGCUGGAAAUUGUUAUUGUGAUAAUCCCCUCCUCCUCCUCCUCCUCCCUUUUUUUUUUUUCUUCUUCUGCUUUUUUUUAUGUACAUUUUUCCUCUGCUACUUCUGACCCUACCUAUUUUAUUCCAAAGUUAUAACUCAAGCAGAAGGAUUGAAGAAAACGGGAGUGAAGCAUUUUGGACCGAGUGUUUGAAGCAGUUAAUUAAUACGGACUAUGAUUGUUUACUGAUUUUUCUCUCAUUCUUUCUCUAACGGAUCGCCUCCUCAUCUCCACCUCCCCUCUUGUCUGUAACUCAUUUGCUUUCACGUUGCACUAAAACAAAGGAGUGAUACAACAGAACAAAAAUAGGAAGAAGAGAAAAUGUGGACGAAGAACAAGCCUGUUUACCCGUGCGUAGACUUUUUUCGAAAUGGAAGUCGACCGAUGCAAAGUCAGUGUUGAGUCGACGGUGACUGAAGUGGAGUUGCAUUGGCUGGCGUUCGAUCGGUGUUGAUUCGACGUUGAGUAAGCAUCACUUUCUUUGGCCAUUUAUCAGUGUUGCAGUUGCUGAAUAUGUCUGUCAAUUGACCUCAGUGAGAACUGAGACCCUAACUCAUGGAAAAUCAUCUGUGAUUUAUUAA